rnacentral:rRNA from 1 species
GGGCUCGCACAAGUGGUGGAGCAUGCGGUUUAAUUCGAUGCUACGCGAAAAACCUUACCAACCCUUGACAUGGUGAUCGUAGGUUACAGAAAUGUAACCGUCAGUUCGGCUGGAUCACACACAGGUGUUGCAUGGCUGUCGUCAGCUCGUGUCGUGAGAUGUUGGGUUAAGUCCCGCAACGAGCGCAACCCUCAUCCUUAUUUGCCAGCGGUUAGGCCGGGAACUAUAAGGAAACUGCCGGUGAUAAGCCGGAGGAAGGUGGGGAUGAUGUCAAGUCAUCAUGGCCCUUACGGGUUGGGCUACACGCGUGCUACAAUGGUACUUACAGAGGGAAGCAAGACGGCGACGUGGAGCAAAUCCCUAAAAAGUAUCUCAGUUCGGAUUGUUCUCUGCAACUCGAGAGCAUGAAGUCGGAAUCACUAGUAAUCGCGGAUCAGCAUGCCGCGGUGAAUACGUUCUCGGGCCUU